rnacentral:rRNA from 1 species
GACGAACGCUGGCGGCGUGCCUAAUACAUGCAAGUCGAGCGAAUCAAUAGGAGCUUGCUCCUGUUGGUUAGCGGCGGACGGGUGAGUAACACGUGGGCAACCUGCCUGUAAGACUGGGAUAACACCGGGAAACCGGUGCUAAUACCGGAUAAUCCUUUUCCUCUCAUGAGGAAAAGCUGAAAGUCGGUUUCGGCUGACACUUACAGAUGGGCCCGCGGCGCAUUAGCUGGUUGGUGAGGUAACGGCUCACCAAGGCGACGAUGCGUAGCCGACCGGGGAGGGUGAUCGGCCACACUGGGACUGAGACACGGCCCAGACUCCUACGGGAGGCAGCAGUAGGGAAUCUUCCACAAUGGACGAAAGUCUGAUGGAGCAACGCCGCGUGAGCGAUGAAGGCCUUCGGGUCGUAAAGCUCUGUUGUUAGGGAAGAACAAGUACCGGAGUAACUGCCGGUACCUUGACGGUACCUAACCAGAGAGCCACGGCUAACUACGUGCCAGCCGCCGCGGUAACAC